rnacentral:rRNA from 1 species
GAUUAACGCUAGCGGCAGGCCUAAUACAUGCAAGUCGAACGGCAGCACGGGUAGCAAUACCUGGUGGCGAGUGGCGCACGGGUGCGUAACGCGUACGCAACCUACCUAUAACCGGGGAAUAGCCUUCUGAAAGGAAGAUUAAUACCGCAUAAUAUCACUGGACGGCAUCGCCCGGUGAUCAAAACUCCGGUGGUUAUAGAUGGGCAUGCGUGACAUUAGCUAGUUGGUGAGGUAACGGCUCACCAAGGCUACGAUGUCUAGGGGGUCUGAGAGGAUGAUCCCCCACACUGGUACUGAGACACGGACCAGACUCCUACGGGAGGCAGCAGUAAGGAAUAUUGGACAAUGGGCGCAAGCCUGAUCCAGCCAUGCCGCGUGAAGGAUGACGGCCCUCUGGGUUGUAAACUUCUUUUAUACGGGAAUAAACCCCUCGAUUCUUCGGGGGCUGAAUGUACUGUAAGAAUAAGGAUCGGCUAACUUCGUGCCAGCAGCCGCAGUAACAC